AUAGCUGGUUCUCUCCGAAAUAGCUUUAGGGCUAGCCUCAAUUAACAUUACCGCAGGUAAAGCACUGAAUGGGCUAGGGGGCGAAAGCUUACUGAACCCUAUCAAACUCAGAAUGGCGGAUAAUGAAUAAUUGGGAGUCACACUACGUGAGAUAAGUUUCGUGGUGGAAAGGGAAACAGCCCAGACCCACAGCUAAGGUCCCAAAGUACAGUUAAGUGGAAAAGGAUGUGAAGUUGCGCAGACAACCAGGAUGUUGGCUCAGAAGCAGCCACUCAUUUAAAGAGUGCGUAAUAGCUCACUGGUCGAGUGAUUUUGCGCCGAAAAUUUAACGGGGCUAAACUGUACACCGAAGCUUGGGAAUAUACCAUAUGGUAUGUUGGUAGGAGAGCGUCGUAUGCGGGGUGAAGUCGUAGCGAAAGCGGCGGUGGACUGCAUAGGAGUGAGAAUGCCGGAAUGAGUAGCGAGAAUUAUGUGAGAAUCAUAAUGGCCGAAAGACUAAGGUUUUAGAAGGAAGGUUCGUCCGCUUCUAGUUAGCCGGGAGCUAAGGCGAGGCCGAAAGGCGUAGUCGAUGCACAUACGGUUGAGAUUCCGUAGCCACCUUAAAUUUAAACUAAGGGACACAUUGAAAGGGAAUAACCCAGGCGUUGGUUGACCUGGGCGUAAGGGAACGAAAAUAAGUAGUGAAGUAUUCUUGGACAGUGGCGAGAAAAGCUUAGUGUAUAUUAUUAGGGUGCCCGUACUGCAAACCGACACAGGUAGUCAGGAAGAGAAUUCUAAGGCCAUCGGGAGAAGCGUUGUUAAGGAACUCGGCAAAUUGACCCCGUAACUUCGGAAUAAGGGGUGCUCACGAGAGUGAGCCGCAGUGAAUAGGUCCAGGCAACUGUUUAUCAAAAACACAGCUCUCUGCUAAAUCGUAAGAUGACGUAUAGGGGGUGACACCUGCCCGGUGCUGGAAGGUUAAGAGGAGGAGUGCAAGCCCCGAAUCGAAGCCCCAGUAAACGGCGGCCGUAACUAUAACGGUCCUAAGGUAGCGAAAUUCCUUGUCGGGUAAGUUCCGACCCGCACGAAUGGUGUAAUGAUCUGGACACUGUCUCAACAACGCACCCGGCGAAAUUGUAGUACCGGUGAAGAUGCCGGUUACCCGCGGCAAGACGGAAAGACCCCAUGGAGCUUUACUGUAACUUAAUAUUGGGUCUCGGUACUUUAUGUACAGGAUAGGCGGGAGACUUGGAAACUAGCACGCCAGUGUUAGCGGAGUCAUCCUUGGGAUACCGCUCUUAAGGUAUUGAGAUUCUAACCUGCAGCCUUGAAUCAGGUUGGGGGACAUUGUUAGGUGGGCAGUUUGACUGGGGCGGUCG
rnacentral:rRNA from 1 species